AAGAAAGAAAGAAAGAAAGCUUUCCAAUGGCACCUUGAGGAAUCCCUCAAGGUGGUUCUGAUGGAAGCACUCAGUGAUGAACACACCUACAUUCUGGAUGCAGGACAAAGAAGGACAGCUGAGAAACUUCUCAAGAUGAUGGCAGAACAUUGGUCAUCUCCAUAAAUCAAAGGGAUGUUGAAACUUUGAAGGGUCACUAAGAAAAGUUUCAUAAGUCAAGGAUUAUCCUGUACUUCCACCAGAGAACUAGCUAAGAUAAUGUUUUUUGGGGAAAAGAAUAAAAAUUCACCAAGACCAGCCUUCAGUUUCUAAUCCAGAUGUUUUUCAGCAGACUAUCGUUGGGAAUGAAACCUUACACAUUGACUUGCCCAGUAGAUAUCAAAGUAGAUAUCAAAAGGUAUAUGAUUUCUAUCUCUGAAGCUAGAAAUUUAACUGACAUGGCCAUUAGUUGUUAAUAUGCCUAAUCUCUGUUAAUUUGUCUAAAUAUCUUCUUAAAGACACCCAAGCAAGUGACAAUUAGCUUGAAGAAAGAAUCAUCUUCUCUGCCCUGUCUCUACCGCCAAUUAAUUUAAUUCUAAGGUCCAGAGCAGGAGUGGGCAAACUGUACUCAUGAGGUGCUUUU